rnacentral:lncRNA from 1 species
UGAUAACAAAAGCGAAACAGGUAUUUGGACAACCAUGCUUAUAGCAUUAUUGGCAGUAGCCAAAAUGUGUAGGCAUUUUAAGUGUCCAUCAAAGGUUGAAUGAAUAAACAAAAUUUGGCAUACACACAAAGAGUAGAAUAGUAUUCAUUCUUAAAAUGGAAGGGAAUUCUGAUACAACAUUUAUGAAAUUUAAGGAUACGGAUGCUAUGUGAACUAAGGACAAAUACUGUAUAAUUCUACUUAACUUAGUUAAUCUGUCCAAGAGUAGUCAGAAUCAUAGAGACAGAAAAUUAGAUUGGUGGUUGUCAUGGAAUGAAUAGUGGAAUGGGAAGAUGAUUAUGGAAAUGGAGUUUUGGUUUUGUAAGAUAAGAAGUUCUGAAUAUUGGACACACAACUGCAUGAAUGUAAUUAACCCACUGAACUGUACACUUAAAAACGGUUGUGAUGGUGAAUGUUAUGUUUAUUCUACCAUUAUUUUUUAAAAAAUGAGUAAAUAUUUUGACCAAGCCCCAGAUUUUUAUAAGGCUAAGCUAAUUAUUUAUGUGUUAUUAUAUUCAAGUAAAGUAC